AAACAUUGUCCCAUGAAACAUAUAUGGGAUAAUACCUGCCCAGUGACAAAAUUCAACGGCCGCGGUAUCCUAACCGUGCAAAGGUAGCAUAAUCACUUGCCUAUUAAUUGUAGGCUAGAAUGAAGGGGUUAACGAAAUAAAAACUGUCUCAAUUAAUUACCUAAAAAUUAUUCUCUACUUGAAGAAAAGUGGAUAAUCUCGAAGGACAAGAAGACCCUAUAGAGCUUGAUACUAACUAUAGAACUAUGCUAUAAAAAUAUUCGGUUGGGGCGACCCAGGGCUUAAUAAUCACCCACUAUAUAAAAGAUAAAUUAAUCAAUUUAAGUGACCCUUCAAAGAUCAUUAAACCAAGCUACCUUAGGGAUAACAGGCUAAUCCCACUCAAGAGUCCUUAUCAACAGUGGGGCUUGGCACCUCGAUGUUGGCUUAGGGUAUCCAUAUAGCGCAAAAGUUAUAUAAAGAUGGUUUGUUCAACCAAUAAUUCCCUACGUGAUC
rnacentral:rRNA from 1 species